GUCAGCAUAGUGUAGUGGUUUGAACGUUGGACUAUGGCUCUCGAGGCUUAGGUUCAAUUCCUUGCUCAGCCA